UCACUGUGAAUAGCGCUUCUAUGGUCCAUCCAAUCAGCUGUGAAUACAAAACUAGUCCUAAAUUCCUUAUUCCUAAACUAUUAAUUUAUUUAGUUGCAAGGAACAGGUCAAAGUUUUUAACCAGUGCUGGAUGUAGCCAGUCUAAUGUGAAGGACUGUGCAGCAUGAGACAGAGAGGAAGAACAGAGAGGGAGGGAAAGAAAAUACAAUAAAAGAGAAUAACUUUGCCUCAGGACAAAUGAACUCGGUGGCAAGAUCACAAAAUGCCAAGUGCCUUAGUCUCCGUGGGACACUCUGCCUCCGUAACCUCGUUUCCUUCCCUCACACCCAACCCCAUGCAGCAAUAAGAGAACAGUGUAAUGUUUCAUUUAAUCCACCAUUAACACCACGGUCACACUUCUCUUGGCGUCUGCCCAUAUUACUGCUUUUGUUGGACAACAAAUCCAAAAUUUAAUUAUUCAUUUUGCUGAAAGAGACCCUGUUGUGUUUUAAAUGGGUCCUCUCUCCAUUCCUCCAUUCCUUUAUCUCUCCAGAUACAUUUGCCUUUGAGAUUGGAAUUGAGCCUAUUCAUUAUCUGGGAAGCAAAAUAAGAAAUAAUCCCUACAUGAGGCAAUGCAUAGUGGGUCCUCAGAGUUUGUCAGAAACGCACCCACACGGUUUUCCACUGCAAGAAUUUUCCACCUUAUUAGAGUUGAUAUCUAGCCCCACCACUGAAUUGGAAAAAAGAACUCUCUUAAAAUAAACUGGCAGAGCACUGAUGACCGUGCCAUCUGCAUGAAUUAUUUUAACUUUGGAGUUUAAUGAAGGAUGUAGUAGCAAAUGUUGUAUUCCCAUCUCGUGGCUCUCUGCUUCCUGCUGAUUCCAGAUGUGAUCCAAAAUUUCAUUCAACAUAUACUUGCAGUGGCCUAAUAAAAACUCCGCUCAGCUCUGGGAGCUACCUAAUGAAAGCCUGUCCUCCUGGAGUUUAUAAUCCAUGGGAUCCUGAAUCCAGUCUUUCCUACAUUUUUCUGCCCUUGAAUUAUGUGGAUUAAUUCUCAUCAGCGCUGUUGGCCAGUUUGGGCCAAGCCUGACUUUUUCACACUAAUUCCCAUCCUCAGUUCCCUG
rnacentral:lncRNA from 1 species